GACGAACGCUGGCGGUGUGCUUAACACAUGCAAGUCGAACGGUAAGGCCCUUUCGGGGGUACACGAGUGGCGAACGGGUGAGUAACACGUGAGUAACCUGCCCUCAUCUCUGGGAUAACAGUCGGAAACGGUUGCUAAUACUGGAUAUGAGCUUGCAAGGCAUCUUGUGGGUUGGAAAGAUUUUUUUGGUUGGGGAUGGACUCGCGGCCUAUCAGCUUGUUGGUGAGGUAGUGGCUCACCAAGGCUUCGACGGGUAGCCGGCCUGAGAGGGCGACCGGCCACAUUGGGACUGAGAUACGGCCCAAACUCCUACGGGAGGCAGCAGUGGGGAAUAUUGCACAAUGGACGGAAGUCUGAUGCAGCAACGCCGCGUGCGGGAUGACGGCCUUCGGGUUGUAAACCGCUUUCAAUUGUGACGAAGCUUUUUUGUGACGGUAGCAGUAGAAGAAGCACCGGCUAACUACGUGCCAGCAGCCGCGGUGAUACGUAGGGUGCGAGCGUUGUCCGGAUUUAUUGGGCGUAAAGAGCUUGUAGGCGGUUUGUCGCGUCGGGAGUGAAAACUUGGGGCUUAACCCUGAGCUUGCUUUCGAUACGGGCUGACUUGAGGGAGGUAGGGGAGAAUGGAAUUCCUGGUGGAGCGGUGGAAUGCGCAGAUAUCAGGAGGAACACCGGUGGCGAAGGCGGUUCUCUGGACCCUUCCUGACGCUGAGAAGCGAAAGCGUGGGGAGCGAACAGGCUUAGAUACCCUGGUAGUCCACGCCGUAAACGGUGGGUACUAGGUGUGGGGGACAUUCCACGUUCUCCGUGCCGUAGCUAACGCAUUAAGUACCCCGCCUGGGGAGUACGGCCGCAAGGCUAAAACUCAAAGGAAUUGACGGGGCCCCGCACAAGCGGCGGAGCAUGCGGAUUAAUUCGAUGCAACGCGAAGAACCUUACCUGGGUUUGACAUAUGCCGGAAGCGUUCAGAGAUGGGCGUGCCUUUUUGGUCGGUUUACAGGUGGUGCAUGGCUGUCGUCAGCUCGUGUCGUGAGAUGUUGGGUUAAGUCCCGCAACGAGCGCAACCCUCGUCCAAUGUUGCCAGCGGGUUAUGCCGGGGACUCAUUGGAGACCGCCGGGGUCAACUCGGAGGAAGGUGGGGAUGACGUCAAGUCAUCAUGCCCCUUAUGUCCAGGGCUUCACGCAUGCUACAAUGGCCGGUACAAAGAGCUGCGAGCCUGUGAGGGUGAGCGAAUCUCGGAAAGCCGGUCUCAGUUCGGAUUGGGGUCUGCAACUCGACCCCAUGAAGUCGGAGUCGCUAGUAAUCGCAGAUCAGCAACGCUGCGGUGAAUACGUUCCCGGGGCU
rnacentral:rRNA from 1 species